rnacentral:misc_RNA from 1 species
UGUGUGCUCUUUCUCUGGCUCUUUUUAUUUAUUAACUUGUUAUUACUGAUAACACCCUCUGGUGUUAACCAUUUAUUAACCUCAGAUUUUGUUGUAAGAAGGUUGCGUGUUUUUGUGAUUUGUAUGAAUAAUAAUUAUAAUUUUAUAUGAAUAUAUCGAGAUGAGCAAUUCAUCAAAUAUGGUGUACUCCGAUCGGGAGAAGAUGCUAUUGACUACGUUGGUAAGAGAAAAUCCCCUGGUAGAGGAUAAAAGAGCGGACGCUGCGAUGAUAGCGGAUAAAAAGCGCGCCUGGGACUUGAUCACACGAUCAUUUAAUUCCCAGCCCAUAGUUAAUAGGACACGGACAUCCCAACAGUUACGCAGGUUGUGGAUAAAUUUGAAACACAGAAAACGGAAGCAAACUGAAGCACAGCUUUAUGAAACACUGGUCAUUGGUGAUGACCCUGUCACAAUGGUAGAAAGUGACCCUCUGCUGGAGCUUGUAUCUGCAACUGCUCCCAACAUGGAUAUCACUAUGAACUCUCCUUCGGAUAGCACCCACCUAUUUGAGAAAGCUGGUACCACAAUAAAAAAUGAAACUUAUGAAGAGAUACAUAUUGAGGAAUGUCACCUCCCCUCUCCCAGCGAGGAGUGUAUGUUCAAUUCGAACGAUGAGCUAUCUGACACAGUAAAAGUGAAGAAGGCAACAAACCCUCCAAGAUUAUCUCCUGCUGCUCAAGGGAAAGCGAAACGACUGACGAUGGCCAUCCACCAGCAGCGGGAACUCCAUAAUUUUAAAAAACUAAUUGCUGAAGAGGAAUUACUGAAGAUAAGGGAAGAAAGAAAAGUGAAUAUGAAAAUAAUGGACUUAAAACUGCAGCAGGCAUCUCAUGAAGUAGCGACUGCUUUGUUAAAACGAAAACAGGCAGCUGCUGAAGCAGAUCUUGCUGCCUUAAAGUUGGAACAGUUUAGACGUCAGGAGUGUUGAAGAAAAUUUUGGUACCUAUAAGUAGAUAAUGAGACAAAAAUACAUAAUAUUUGUAAGAAAUAUAUGUUUAGAAGUUUUUAAAAUGGACAUUACCAACACACAUGAUACUGUUUAUAAAUACAGACUAUUUCUACUCAUUCUACAUUGUAGGUAUUUGAUAUUUUGCAGGUAUCAAUCAGAUGUUGGCAUAGGGCAAAAAUGUGUAUCCAGAUAAUUUUUCUGAAGAGAUUUCUGAAAGCAAUAAAUAUAUACAAAGUCAGACCUGAUCACACACAUGUAUUAUUUUUCUAUAUGGAAUUUUGUUUGGUUCUAUAUGGAAUUCUUAUGGAAAUUAUAUGGUUGGUGUAAA